GUCGAGAAUCUUCCCCAAUGGGCGAAAGCCUGAGGGAGCGACGCCGCGUGAGGGAUGAAGGCCCUUUGGGUUGUAAACCUCUGUUAGGGGGAAAGAAAAGCAGUGGAAGCAAUAUGUCCAUUGCCUGACGUUACCCCCAGAGAAAGCUCCGGCCAACUCCGUGCCAGCAGCCGCGGUAAUACGGGGGGAGCAAGCGUUGUCCGGAAUCAUUGGGCGUAAAGGGCGUGUAGGCGGCUAUUUAAGUCAGAGGUGAAAGCCUGGAGCUCAACUCCAGAACUGCCUUUGAGACUGGAUAGCUAGAAUCCUGGAGAGGUGAGUGGAAGUCCGAGUGUAGAGGUGAAAUUCGUAGAUAUUCGGAAGAACACCAGUGGCGAAGGCGGCUCACUGGACAGGUAUUGACGCUGAGGUGCGAAAGCGUGGGGAGCAAACAGGAUUAGAAACCCUGGUAGUCC
rnacentral:rRNA from 1 species